rnacentral:rRNA from 1 species
CCUACGGGUGGCAGCAGUGGGGGAUAUUGCACAAUGGGGGAAACCCUGAUGCAGCGAAGCCGCGUGGGCGAAGAAGUAUCUCGGUAUGUUAAGCCUUAUCAGCAGGGAAGAAGAAAUGACGGUACCUGAGUAUGAAGCACCGGCUCAAUACGUGCCAGCAGCUGCGGUAAUACGGAGGGUGCAGGUGUUAUCCGGAUUUACUGGGUGGAAAGGGAGCGCAGGCGGCACGGCAAGCGUGAUGGGAAAGCCCGCGGCCCAACCGCGGGACGGCCGUGGAAACUGCCGGGCUGGAGUGCCGGAGAGGUAGGCGGAAUGCGUGGUGUAGCGGUGAAAUGCGUAGAUAUUAGGAGGAACACCAGUGGCGAAGGCGGCAUACUGGACGGUGACUGACGCUGAGGCUCGAAAGCGUGGGGAGCAAACAGGAUUAGAUACCCCUGUAGUC